rnacentral:rRNA from 1 species
UACGAAGGGGGCUAGCGUUGCUCGGAAUCACUGGGCGUAAAGGGUGCGUAGGCGGGUCUUUAAGUCAGAGGUGAAAUCCUGGAGCUCAACUCCAGAACUGCCUUUGAUACUGGGGAUCUUGAGUUCGGGAGAGGUGAGUGGAACUGCGAGUGUAGAGGUGAAAUUCGUAGAUAUUCGCAAGAACACCAGUGGCGAAGGCGGCUCACUGGCCCGAUACUGACGCUGAGGCACGAAAGCGUGGGGAGCAAACAGG